rnacentral:snRNA from 1 species
GAAUGUGAGGGUGAUCUGGCUGCAAUGUCUGUCAACCCAUUGAUUACCGGGAUUGCUUCGGCUGAUCUGACUGGCCAGGCGUGUGUCCCUUUCCUCCCUCACCACUCCAUGUGUGUCCCUUCUGAAGCUGCAUGCUCGAUUGAAGAGGACGACUAUCCCCAGUAGAAAUGGUCUACAUG